GACGAACGCUGGCGGCGUGCUUAACACAUGCAAGUCGAACGGAAAGGCCCUGCUUUUGUGGGGUGCUCGAGUGGCGAACGGGUGAGUAACACGUGAGUAACCUGCCCUUGACUUUGGGAUAACUUCAGGAAACUGGGGCUAAUACCGGAUAGGAGCUCCUGCUGCAUGGUGGGGGUUGGAAAGUUUCGGCGGUUGGGGAUGGACUCGCGGCUUAUCAGCUUGUUGGUGGGGUAGUGGCUUACCAAGGCUUUGACGGGUAGCCGGCCUGAGAGGGUGACCGGCAGCAUGGGGCAGGAGUGAGGGACGAGCACCCAACGGGGGGAAGGAGGGGGAAAUUGGAAAAACGGGGGGCGGGCCAGAGCCAGCACCCCCGGGGGGGGGAGGGCGGCUGUGGGUUUGAAAACCGUUUUCGCCUGGAAGAAGGGGGGGGGGAGGGUAGGGAGUAAAAAAGCCCGGGCAAACUCCGGC
rnacentral:rRNA from 1 species